rnacentral:SRP_RNA from 1 species
GCUGGGUGUGGUGGCCCACGCCUAUAAUCCCAGCUACUUGGGAGGCUAAGGCAGGGGAAUUGCUUGAACUCAGGAGGCAGAGGUUGCAGUGAGCUGACAUCAUGCCACUGCACUCCAGCCUGGGUGAUAGAGCAAGACUCUGUCUCAA